UACGGAGGGAGCUAGUGUUGUCCGGAAUUAUUGGGCGUAAAGCGCGCGCAGGCGGUCCUUUAAGUCUGAUGUGAAAGCCCACGGCUCAACCGUGGAGGGUCAUUGGAAACUGGGGGACUUGAGUGUAGAAGAGGAAAGUGGAAUUCCAUGUGUAGCGGUGAAAUGCGUAGAGAUGUGGAGGAACACCAGUGGCGAAGGCGACUUUCUGGUCUGUAACUGACGCUGUGGCGCGAAAGCGUGGGGAGCAAACAGG
rnacentral:misc_RNA from 1 species